GUUUGAAGGCUCAGGCAGACGUGGUUCCAAGCCACCUCCCCAGCUCUGUCAGCGCAAAGACACGUGCUUCAUGGUCAAGAUGGUCAACGUUAUGUCAAGACCAAAGGAUCCCUAAGACACACGCACUCAGGCUAAGAUCCUCAGCUUCCUAUAACCCCAUGCUUCCCACGUGUUGUGACUGCACACCGCCCGUGACGGGAGCAGCGCUUGUGAAGACCAACGGCAUCGAGGGACACGACUAUGGGUCUUCAACGAAGAGAUCCAGCCAUCCACCAGGGCCGGUCUGGGCCAAUGCCUUUCCCUCACGAGGCACAGAACAACCUGCAGAAUUUUCUCAAGGGGAAGCCAGUUAUUCUUGGGGUGAGCCAAAUCAUGAUCGGCCUAAUGAACAUUUGCCUGUGGAUUAUGAUAAAGGUCUUCCUUUCAUUCCACCAACUACAUCUAGCACUAGAAAACAGUGCACAUACCUUCAUUUUCCUUUUGGGACCAAUUUUUUUACUUUUAUCUGGAACUGUGUCCAUUGUGUCUGGAAAGAAGACGACAAAACAGAUGGGGAUUACGUUUCUGAAGCUCAUCCUCGUCCUCCUGGGACUCGUCACCUCAGUGCUGCUGUCUGCGUUUGGAUGCAGCGCUGUCUGCUGUGAUGUGACCUCAGUGGUUGUCGACUUAUCCUCCAAUGAGUGUGGACUUCCCAUGGCUACUCUUUCUCAUGACUAUGAUGAGGUGGCUUUCCAACCCACUUAGUUGUUUGAUAUGUCAACUUUCGAACCAUUCCUGGAUUUACUCUAAUUGUAUUAUUGGGAGUAAAUCAGUAAUCAGGCAGUGAACAGCCUUCAGCGUUCUCAAGGGGAGAGAAAGUCACAGAUUUGCUGACGUUGACUCCGCUGUGGUCUCCUACUCUACCCCCAAUUAUGAUUACAUUUGGACAUGAUAAAUAAAGCCUAUGAUUCAUCAGCA
rnacentral:lncRNA from 1 species